AUGAUGAGGGGCGUAAUAGACUUAAGGAAUUCAUUGUAGAACAAUCAAGACAAACAGCACCACCACCACCACCACCUCCACCACCACCACCACCAACACCAGCUAAUAACUAACCGACGCUAACGACAGAUAAAUUUACCAACAAACCGCAUGAUCCGUAUCACAUUCUGAAAAUUCAUAUGCUUAGCUACUAAUAUGUGUAU